AUUGAACGCUGGCGGCAGGCCUAACACAUGCAAGUCGAACGAGUGGCGGACGGGUGAGUAAUGUCUGGGACACUGCCUGAUGGAGGGGGAUAACUACUGGAAACGGUAGCUAAUACCGCAUACCAUCGGAUGUGCCCAGAUGGGAUUAGCUUGUUGGUGGGGUAACGUCUCACCAAGGCGACGAUCCCUAGCUGGUCUGAGAGGAGGACCAGCCCCACUGGAACUGAGACACGGUCCAGACUCCUACGGGAGGCAGCAGUGGGGAAUAUUGCACAAUGGGCGCAAGCCUGAUGAAGCCAUGCCGCGUGUAUGAAUAAGGCCUUCGGGUUGUAAAGUACUUUCAGCGGGGAGGCGUUACCCGCAGAAGAAGCACCGGCUAACUUCGUGCCAGCAGCCGCGGUAAUUC
rnacentral:rRNA from 1 species